rnacentral:rRNA from 1 species
UACGAAGGGGGCUAGCGUUGCUCGGAUUUACUGGGCGUAAAGGGCGCGUAGGCGGACUGACAAGUUGGGGGUGAAAGCCCGGGGCUCAACCUCGGAACUGCCUUCAAAACUGUUAGUCUAGAGUUCGAGAGAGGUGUGUGGAACUCCGAGUGUAGAGGUGAAAUUCGUAGAUAUUCGGAAGAACACCAGUGGCGAAGGCGACACACUGGCUCGAUACUGACGCUGAGGCGCGAAAGCGUGGGGAGCAAACAGG